AAGGGGGCGGGGGGAGAGCCGAGGCCGCUGCCGCGGAGGACGGGGGAGCGGCGGCGCGGGGCGGGCGCAGCGCGGAGCGGGGCCGCUGGGGGUUGCGCCUCGCCGGCCGCGGCGCGUGGAGCGGCCAUGCCGAAUAAAAACAAGAAGGAGAAGGAACCUGCAAAAUCAGCCAAGAGUGGAAAAAGUGGCAAAGACGGACAAGAUAACCAAGAACAUGAGGUGUCAAACAAAAAAUCAAACAGCACUCCUCCCCCAGCACAACUAUCUAAAAUCAAAGUACCAGCACCACAGACAGUACUGAAGAAGGAAAAGCGGCAGAGUUCUUCAAGGUUUAAUGUUAGCAUUAACCGGGAGCUUCAGAAACUGCCAGCUUUAAAAGAUGUUCCUCCUGCUGAUCAAGAAAAGCUUUUUAUCCAGAAGUUACGACAAUGUUGUGUACUUUUUGACUUUGUUUCUGAUCCACUAAGUGACCUAAAGUGGAAGGAAGUAAAACGAGCAGCUUUAAGUGAAAUGGUAGAAUAUAUCACACACAAUCGCAAUGUGAUUACAGAACCUAUUUACCCUGAAGUAGUACAUAUGUUUGCAGUUAAUAUGUUUCGAACAUUACCACCAUCUUCCAAUCCAACGGGAGCAGAAUUUGAUCCAGAGGAGGAUGAACCCACCUUAGAAGCUGCAUGGCCUCAUCUACAGCUUGUUUAUGAAUUUUUCUUAAGGUUUUUAGAAUCUCCAGAUUUCCAACCUAACAUAGCUAAGAAAUAUAUUGAUCAGAAGUUUGUAUUACAGCUUUUAGAGCUCUUCGACAGUGAAGAUCCUCGUGAAAGAGAUUUUCUUAAAACAACUCUUCACAGAAUAUAUGGGAAAUUCUUAGGCCUGAGAGCUUACAUACGGAAACAAAUUAAUAAUAUAUUUUAUAGGUUUAUUUAUGAAACAGAACAUCACAAUGGCAUAGCAGAAUUACUGGAAAUACUGGGAAGCAUAAUUAAUGGAUUUGCCUUACCAUUAAAAGAAGAGCACAAAAUAUUCCUAUUGAAGGUUUUGUUACCAUUGCACAAAGUGAAAUCCCUCAGUGUCUACCAUCCACAGCUGGCAUACUGUGUAGUUCAAUUUUUGGAAAAGGACAGUACACUUACAGAACCAGUUGUAAUGGCACUGCUGAAAUACUGGCCAAAGACUCACAGUCCAAAAGAAGUCAUGUUUUUAAAUGAACUAGAAGAAAUUUUAGAUGUUAUUGAACCAUCUGAGUUUGUAAAGGUUAUGGAGCCUCUCUUCAGACAGCUCGCCAAAUGUGUGUCCAGUCCACACUUUCAGGUUGCAGAGCGAGCAUUAUACUACUGGAAUAAUGAAUAUAUUAUGAGUUUAAUUAGUGAUAACGCAGCAAAGAUUUUGCCCAUCAUGUUUCCAUCCUUGUACCGGAAUUCAAAGACACAUUGGAACAAUUAUGUAGGCUAUUGGCUACUGUUGACCAGAAAAAAUAGAUUUCAAAGUUUAAAGUACUCUGAGUUUCAACCAGAAGUUUUACUUAUAGGACAAUACAUGGCUUGAUAUACAAUGCUCUGAAACUCUUCAUGGAGAUGAACCAAAAACUGUUCGAUGACUGCACACAGCAAUUUAAAGCAGAAAAACUGAAAGAGAAGCUAAAAUUGAAGGAACGGGAAGAAGCCUGGGUUAAAAUAGAAAAUCUAGCCAAAUCAAAUCCCCAGUACCCAACAUAUAGUGACACGAGUUUGCUGAACAGUCCUGUUGCAAUGGAAACAGAUGGGCCUUUAAUUGAAGAUUUGCAGAUGCUGAAGAAGACAGUGAAAGAAGAGGCUUGUCAGGCACAGAAAGAUCAGAAAAAAGAUCGUCCUCUUGUGCGACGCAAGUCAGAACUGCCUCAGGAUAUCUAUACCAUGAAAGCCUUGGAAUCACAUUGCAGAGCUGAUGAAUUAAUAUCACAUGAUGGGCAUUAAACUAUUACAGUCAAAUAUUAUUUUGGAGGAAACGUCUUUUUUUUUUUUUUCUGGACUCAGUUCUACAGUAGAACUUACUUUUUUGUGCCAUACCAAUCAGUUACACACAAAGUCAAAGCUUUCUUCAACCCAGUUCUGUAGGCAAUAAAUUGAGUAUGCAGCUCAAGAUUAGUAGUUCAAACAAUGGUAAAUUACCCAAUUCCAUAUGCAGAAUAUUAGGUUGACUGUAAUGAAGUGGACACAAUUUCCUGGAGGUGUUAUCAUAGUACCAGCCAGCUAAUAACAUGCCGUUUUUAUAGUUCUAUUUGAGAAAAGCAUUCUAUAAACUCUUUCCAUCUAAAGUGAAUGACCAAUAGUUGGUACUAAUGAUAAAUGUGUGUUUUCAAAAGUAAUAAUACUUCAGAUAUAAGUAUUAAACUUUUUCUAGGAUUUCUCAACUUUGUAAUUGUUUCCACAUUAUUGAUGUCUUGUAAUAUACCAGCAGUUUUGAAAAUACACAAUUAUUCUUUCAUAGUAUAAAACGUGGCUUACAAAUUGGUGACUUCCAUGACAAUCUUCAAUCAUCAUUCCUUUCUAAGAGUUCUGUAAAUUUUUUUCUCCUUUACUUGGAUAAAGAUCUAUAUAUAGACACCAUGUCCUAAUACUUUAUGUAUAUUUAAAGCCAUAUUUUCCAGUCUUCAGUGUAUAAUACAGCACCAGUAUUCCGCAUAUGAACUGGUAGAAGAAUUUUUCCUAAAAUGAAAAUUUGUUUACUAUGACUGGGAAUAGACUGAAUAUAAAAUUUCAUUUUAAGUUUUUUCAAGUUCUUUCACUCUUUUCUCCCUUAUCUGAGCUUUUAAUACUCAGCAUUUUUCUUGGGCUCUAGGAGUUCAGUAUUCUGUGGCAGAUAUUACACAUGAUUUCAGUUGCAUCAUGAAAGAUGAACAUAAUCUUUCAGGAAACAUCAUCACAAGCUUAUAUAAUAAAGUAAAAUAAGAAAAAGAACAGACUUUUGAAUUCCUUUCUUCUUUUUAGGUGAGUCUAAGAGCUGAGGAGAUAGUGACCAUCAUUUUACCGUGAAAAUACUUUUUUGUUGUAGUUGUAAAGAGCACAUGUGCUGCAAAUACACCUCACAAGUGAACUGAAAAAUGCAUCUAAGUUGCUGAUGAACUUCAAAUGCUGCUAUAUAUUCCACAAGAUUACUUGCAUGUAAUGAGCUUUUUGUUGUAGAUGGAAAAGCACGGGAGGAAAAUCUCUUCAAAAAUAUAGUGCUUUGUCUUCAAUAUUUGAUUUCUCUCAGGGUGGCCAGUAUUUUAACUUACUUAUCCUGCUUACAAGUUGUUUGAAACGUGUUCUGCUGUUCUAAAUGAGUGAUUAGUUUCUUUUGUCUCUGGCAGUAACAUGAUAUAACUUAAUGUUUAAUGUCUUGAUGCAUAAAGAGAUAAAAACGUGGCUUCUUUAAAAAAUAGUUUUGUUUUACUUUUUAAGGAAGUAUAAUGUCUCCUGCAUCCAUUAAAAUAAAUGCGCAAAGCAGACAUUCAUAGUAACCUUGUGCAGAUGUAGUGCCUGCUGUUUGUUGGUUGCGUUUAACAUUCGAUUCCCAAUAUUUGUUGCGUUGUCUAUUGGAAGAAAAUUGUGGGUGGUAAAUAUUGGCUUACAAUAACUAAAUUUCAAGAUCAACCCAACCUUUAAGUGGAAUGUCCACACCAUCUGAAAACAUUUCCUGUAAAACUUGAAAAAGAAUAUGCUUUACCAUUAGGAUAAACUAGAGUAAACCAGUUUAAAGAUGCCUUCUCCUUUUGAGGGAAAAAGGGUGCUUUUUUUAGUUGUGUAAAGCAGCGUCUAUGUACUUUGAUAUACCAUUGUUUGAACUUCCAUCUUUAGCUGGUAGAUUAUCAGUUACCUUUGAUUUUGGGUGUUCAGUAUGUUUGUGCAAGAGGUUGCUGAAAGGAAUUAUUAUGUUAACUCAAGGAAAGAAAAAAAGCUGUAUAUCAAUGUUUGAUUGUGUGAUGCUCAACGUAUAAGAACAUCUUUUACUGUCUAGAUUUUAUUUCUGUUCUUUAUUGAAGAUAAACACUCACCAAAAACCAAAAUAUUGUGGUAUUUGUAAAGGCUGAAAGUUCACCAUAAAUUCAUAUUUGAAAUUUUGGGCCACUGAACAUUUGCUUAGGCAAUAUUCCAAAAUUUGUCACCACUAAUGGUUUAGCAUGUGUAUUAUCAAUAUUUAUAUACUUCUUAUAAUCCUGUACUAAACCAUUCUAAAACUAAUACAUCCAAAAAGAAGAAGAAGAAAAAUUAGAAUUUUGGUGACUGUUGUUCUUCAUAAAGUUCUGUGUUUGACAUCUUCUCCCGUUUCCAAAAUUCCACCUGUACAUCAGGAAUGUCAAAAGUAAUAUUACAAGUGUCUUUUUAGUGUGGCUUUAGUAUGGCUUCAUUUUAAUAUUGUACAUACAUUGUACCUUGUUUUAUGGUAAUAAGUAAUAAAAAUGUAGACUUCAUAUUUUGUACAGAAUCGUCCUAUGUACAGAAUAAAAAGUUCCUAGAAACAGCAAAAAUAGGUAAGUGGCACAAUUAUUUUUCAUUAGACAAUAUCUGUAACAUUACGCGUUAGUGGAAUGUUAAGUUCAAAUGUACCUACAUAUUUUUUAACAUUUUGUAAUGCAGUUUUUUGUUCUGGCAUUGUUUCUGAAGAACUUCAUACACCUGUCAUUUAAUAUGCUUUUAUCUAAUUUUAAAACUUUAAAAAAAAAAAUGGUGUAUUAUAUGGACAAAUAAAGAACAUGUGAAUUUUA